GAUGAACGCUAGCUACAGGCUUAACACAUGCAAGUCGAGGGGAAACGACAUCGAAAGCUUGCUUUUGAUGGGCGUCGACCGGCGCACGGGUGAGUAACGCGUAUCCAACCUGCCCACCACUUGGGGAUAACCUUGCGAAAGUAAGACUAAUACCCAAUGACGUCUCUAGAAGACAUCUGAAAGAGAUUAAAGAUUUAUCGGUGAUGGAUGGGGAUGCGUCUGAUUAGCUUGUUGGCGGGGUAACGGCCCACCAAGGCGACGAUCAGUAGGGGUUCAGAGAGGAAGGUCCCCCACAUUGGAACUGAGACACGGUCCAAACUCCUACGGGAGGCAGCAGUGAGGAAUAUUGGUCAAUGGGCGAGAGCCUGAACCAGCCAAGUAGCGUGCAGGAAGACGGCCCUAUGGGUUGUAAACUGCUUUUAUAGGGGAAUAAAGUGAGCCACGUGUGGCUUUUUGCAUGUACCCUAUGAAUAAGGACCGGCUAAUUCCGUG
rnacentral:rRNA from 1 species